rnacentral:rRNA from 1 species
ACGUUAGCGGCGACGGGUGAGUAACACGUGGGUAACCUACCUAUAAGACUGGGAUAACUUCGGGAAACCGGAGCUAAUACCGGAUAAUAUUUCGAACCGCAUGGUUCGAUAGUGAAAGANGGUUUUGCUAUCACUUAUAGAUGGACCUGCGCCGUAUUAGCUAGUUGGUAAGGUAACGGCUUACCAAGGCGACGAUACGUAGCCGACCUGAGAGGGUGAUCGGCCACACUGGAACUGAGACACGGUCCAGACUCCUACGGGAGGCAGCAGCC